GCAGUGUACUUAUUACACUGUAUUGGAAUCGCUUCUUUUCUCUUUCUCUGUGAAUUUCUUGAGAGCACAGACUACAUUCUGCUUAACUUUUUAUCCCCAGCUUUCAGCACAGUGCCUGGCUGCUUUGGCGUCUCCAAGUACCUGACCUCAGCUCAACCUGUCUUGGGUUUUCUUCUCCUCCCUGACAUUGACAACCCAGCCCUCCUAGGCACAGAGAGAUGGAGCUGAGUGUGGUUUUCCUGAAAUAAAGCUUGCAUUAUGAGAGGGAAUAAACAGUACAGAGGACCAAAGUGGAUGAGCCCUGCUGACCUUGAACACAAGAGGCAGCAUGCCAGGACCUUGCGUGAAGAGGCCUUUCUCACAGGGUGAAAAGCGCGCUUACCAGCCUGAGCCCUAGCGGCUCCAGCAAGAUGAACUUGGUACUGUGGAGAGAAGAGUGAUGGAGAAGGAAAGAGGAAGGGAGAUAAGGCCUCAGGGACUUCCAGUUUCCAGAGAAUAUAAAGCAGGCAGAAAAACGUGAAAAGGAGAGACUGGCCUAGCUUCUCAGCCCACGUCUUUCUCCCGUGCUGAUGCUUCCUGCCCUCGAACAUCAGACUCCAAGUUCUUCAGUUUUGGGACUCAGACUGUCUCUCGUUGCUCCUCAGCUUGCAGACAGCCUAUUGUGGGACCUUGUGAUCAUGUAAGUUAAUACUUAAUAAACUCCUAUAUAUAUAUAAUAUAUAUGUAUAUCUCCUAUUAUAUCCUAUUAGUUCUGUCCUUUUAAGAGAAUCCUAAUACAGAUGAUGAAGAAAUAAUUCACAUUUUAAGGUGUGUUUAUUUGUUAUGAUUUUAUCUUAUUUUAAUUUAUUUUUAGAGAUGGGAUCUCACUGUAUCACUCAUGCUGGAGUGCAGUGGCACAAUCAUAGCUCACUGCAGCCUUCAAACUCCUGGGCUCCAGCAAUCUUCACGCCUCAGCCUCCCGGGUAGCUAGGGCUACAGGCACGUGUCACCAUACUUGGCUAAAUUUUUGGCAGUUUUAAUGGUUUUAUUUAAGCAUAAAUAAAAUAUGCACAUGA
ensembl:lncRNA novel transcript, antisense to C7orf33 and CNTNAP2